ACACUGACGUCGCGACGCAUAUCAAUAAGCGGAGGAAAAGAAACUAACAAGGAUUCCCUUAGUAACGGCGAGUGAAGCGGGAAGAGCUCAAAUUUGAAAUCAUCAAGGUUCUACCUUGACGAAUUGUAGUUUAUAGAAGUGUUUUCUGUUAGUAGAGUGGCAAAAGUUCUUUGGAAUAGGACAUCGUAGAGGGUGAGAAUCCCGUAUUUGGUCAUUCCUCCUAGCGUUGUGAUACACUUUCAACGAGUCGGAUUGUUUGGGAAUGCAGUCCAAAAUGGGUGGUAAAUUUCAUCUAAAGCUAAAUAUUGGCGAGAGACCGAUAGCGAACAAGUACCGUGAGGGAAAGAUGAAAAGAACUUUGAAAAGAGAGUUAAACAGUACGUGAAAUUGUCAAAAGGGAAGCGUUUGACACCAGUGUUGUUUUUCCGAAAAUCAAUUACGAAUGUUUUGUUUUUGAGGAGUUAUGACUUCAUCGGCUUGCUCCUUUCUUUACGAAACUUUCUUAAUGCACUUUUCGGUUAACAAGUCAACAUCAAUUUCUUUUGUUGUAAAAGGGUAUGAGGAAGGUGGCUUUCUUUUCGGAGAAAGUGUUUAUAGCCUUGUGCCUCUACAAUCGGAGAGAUUGAGGUCUGCAGCGUAGAUCCUUCGGGGUUAGAUACGUUUGUGCUAAGUUAUAGCUUUUCAUAGACAACUUGUUGACUAUGUUUAGUCUUGUAGCUUACUCGCUGACGCUAUUUUACCUACGCUUAGGAUGUUGAGUAGCGACAUACGCAC
rnacentral:rRNA from 1 species